rnacentral:tRNA from 1 species
GGGGUAGCAAGCGUACGGCUGGCGAACGCAGCGGGCUGUAAACCCGUAGCCUUAAUUGGUUCUGGUGGUUCGAUCCCACCCUACCCCACCA